AUAGAUUCUUACCAAUAUUGACUUAAUGUUUUUUAUAGAUAAAGAAAAAAGACAAAAAGAAAACUGCCCAAGGCCAAGGUCAAUUAAGGGACAUGGAAUAAAUACCCAUGAUCAGUUGCGUCAACAACUGAUCGCUCUCUCCUUCGCAGAGGCUUACAUUAAGUUUCUAUUGAGGGAAAAGUGAGCGCGCAAGGAGUGAUCGGAAAAGAGCUAAAUAAAGGAAGCCUCUGCGAGUUAAUGCAAUCAAUGUGGUGUCGUAUAUAAUCGUUUGUAGCGAAGUUCGAUCAACCAUCGGGGGUGUUAAAACAUGUUUUCGACUUUCAUUUUCAGGCGUACUUGAGUAUCCUUGGGUGAAUUCAAUAUCAAUAUCUUCUUCUGUCAAUUUGCAUCGAAAAAUAUUGAGAAAUUGCAGACGAAUAUCAAUGGAGACGAGCUAUCUAAUUAUAAAUAUCCUCUUAAUUGCAACAUUUCUUUAUAAAAAUGAC